GCUUUGCAUGCGUCUUCCAGAGAAGGGGCCAGUCUAGACGUAGCCCAGGGGCCCAGUAUUAUUUAGGUGAAAUUUGGGGUUGGGGCAGCCAGAAACAUGGCACAAGGAGAAAGCCAGGAGAGAAACAUUUGUGGAAGAAUAUUGGCUGCAAAGAGACUUCCAGCUGUGAACAAAUAAGCAACUGUGACGUAGUGGGGGUACUUGCUGGGAUGUGGUGACCCCUGCUGUCUGGAGCAAGACCCAGCAGGGAAAGCCUCACUAGGCCAAGGAAAAAGGUUAUAUGGGAGCGCAGGAGGCAGUCAAUCGAGAGGGCUUAUAGGAGCAACCAAUCAGGACUCACCUGUUUCUCGAAAAGGACACCGUUGUCUAAGAACCACACGGGUCCUGGAGCAGAAGUGACAGCAGCAAGACGUCAUCAGAUGAAGGUGCACUGGUGAAAGGAGCUAAUUCCCAGAACAACCAGCAGGAGACGCCAGAGUGUUUCCAGCUUCAUUGUGUCACUGAGAAAUCUGCCCAGCUUUGGCUUCCAUGCAGUUUUCUUUCAUCUGGCCCCCAGUCAACACAUGCUGUUAGGAUCCUGCUUCUCUCCAUGUAUAUGACGCCUCCCGCCCUCAGAGAAGGAUGUAGAGUUUGUCUUCUCAUUUGCAGGUCUCCCAUCUCUGCUAGCUAAAAGCCUUAGGGCUGGCUACAAGCAACUGUCCUGUGGAUUCUGUGAAAAAGACUUGUUUGUGUGAAUGAGAAAUGUAUCAGCAUAAAUAUAAAAGGCAUGAAGGCCACCGUUAGACCCAGAUUGCCAAGAAAGGAGGAGGCAAUGUGGGUGAAGACAUCCUGUGAAAGACAGACGGCGAAGAGACAUAUUGGCAUCAGAGGAAAUAUCAGUGCGUACCUAUAGUCAAGAAUUGAUCAGAUUGGCAGAUUGACAAGUCUAAAGUGGAGCGAGCACCCCCAAAAGACAACUGAUUACAGGAUGAGCUUCUUGGAGAUGUCUGGAAUGUCAACAUCAAAAAAUAAUAGUAACCAGUCACAGACUGACACGGCAAAAUCCACAGAGGAAAGGAUUAUAAAAGCAGGGUGCUUUGCCAUGGAACUUUGGAUUCGUCCUGCCACUAUGAUCACGCAGCCGACAGAGUUCAGCUCCCCCUCUGUGAUCACUCUGGCUGAUCCAGUGUAGGCAGGGAGAGAAGAUGUUGCUGGGCCUAGCUGCAAGAAUGAAAAAGAACAAGGAAAACUGCUUAUUGGGAGAAAAUGAUGUGGAUGAAGAUGUGGAUAUGGCUGCAUGAAUCAACU